rnacentral:pre_miRNA from 1 species
UAAAUACUCCCUCCGUCCGAAAAUACUUGUCAUCAAAAUGGACAAAAAUGGAUGUAUCUAGAACUAAAAUACAUCUAGAUACAUCCCCUUUUAUUCAUUUUGAUGACAAGUAUUUCUGGACGGAGGGAGUACUUU